UACGGAGGAUGCAAGCGUUAUCCGGAAUGAUUGGGCGUAAAGGGUCCGCAGGUGGCAAUGUAAGUCUGCUGUCAAAGAAUGAGGCUUAACCUCAUCAAGGCAGUGGAAACUACAUAGCUAGAGUACGGUCGGGGUAGAAGGAAUUCCUGGUGUAGCGGUGAAAUGCGUAGAUAUCUGGAGGAACACCGGUGGCGAAGGCGGCAUCCUGGACCGGCAUUGACGCUGAGGAGCGAAAGCCAGGGGAGCAAACGGG
rnacentral:rRNA from 1 species